rnacentral:rRNA from 1 species
UGGGUGACCUACCCCCCAGUGAGGAAUACCGGCGAGAAAUCGCCGACAAGACCGCAUAGGCUCUGGUGGAUGAAGCCAGCAGAGCAAAGUCGCAAGACGCUGAGGGAUGGGCCUGUGGCCGAUUAGCUAGUUGGUGGGGUAAGCGCCUACCAAGGCCACGAUCGGUAGCUGGUCUGAGAGGACGAACAGCCACACUGGGAUUGAGAACGGCCCAG